rnacentral:rRNA from 1 species
CAGUAGCCGCGGUAAUACAGAGGGUGCAAGCGUUAAUCGGAAUUACUGGGCGUAAAGCGCGCGUAGGUGGUUUGUUAAGUUGGAUGUGAAAUCCCCGGGCUCAACCUGGGAACUGCAUCCAAAACUGGCAAGCUAGAGUAUGGUAGAGGGUGGUGGAAUUUCCUGUGUAGCGGUGAAAUGCGUAGAUAUAUGAAGGAACACCAGUGGCGAAGGCGACCACCUGGACUGAUACUGACACUGAGGUGCGAAAGCGUGGGGAGCAAACAGGAUUAGAUACCCGCGUAGUCCCUGUCUCUUAUAC